CUGGAGCUCUAAGAUUUUGGGGGCGUUGGAGUUCUCCUGGGAACUUGGGCUGCCCGAGAACAUCUGGUUGUCAAGUCCAGGAUCUCCACCCAUUGGAUGCUGCUGGAAAGAGAGUAGAACUUCCUGCCUUGGUUAGCACCAUCUGGAAAUUCCCCUGCAGGUCCGCCCAGAGGUUUUCCUUCCAGGGACAUCAAGGCUGCCAGAAGAUGAAACCCACUUAUCUCACACCCUGCGCAAUGUAAAACACACACAAUCGAUGUGUCACCUCCUAAUGCACUCGCUGAAGUACGCGCACCUUCACGGGAAAACCUGCAUUAAGUUAUUACCAAAUGAAGAGCCUUCCUCCAGUGGCUGAUGGAAGCAGAAGCAGACACCCGCAGCUAAACACUGAG